AAGUCGAACGAAGUAGCAAUACUUAGUGGCAGACGGGUGAGUAACAUGUAGGUAUCUGCCCUUUGGCCUGGAAUAACACGAGGAAACUUGUGCUAAUACCGGAUAAGUCUUUACGGAGAAAGCUUUAUGCACCAUUGGAUGAGCCUGCACUUGAUUAGUUUGUUGGUGGGGUAAUGGCCUACCAAGACUGUGAUCAAUAGCUGAUUUGAGAGGAUGAUCAGCCACAUUGGGACUGAGACACGGCCCAAACUCCUACGGGAGGCAGCAGUGGGGAAUCUUGCACAAUGGAGGAAACUCUGAUGCAGCGAUGCCGCGUGAGUGAAGAAGGCCUUUGGGUUGUAAAGCUCUUUCGUCGGGGAAGAAAAUGACUGUACCCGAAUAAGAAGGUCCGGCUAACUUCGUGCCAGCAGCCGCGGUAAUACGAAGGGACCUAGCGUAGUUCGGAAUUACUGGGCUUAAAGAGUUCGUAGGUGGUUGAAAAAGUUGGUGGUGAAAUCCCAGAGCUUAACUCUGGAACUGCCAUCAAAACUUUUCAGCUAGAGUUUGAUAGAGGAAAGCAGAAUUUCUAGUGUAGAGGUGAAAUUCGUAGAUAUUAGAAAGAAUACCAAUUGCGAAGGCAGCUUUCUGGAUCAUUACUGACACUGAGGAACGAAAGCACGGGUAGCGAAGAGGAUUAGAUACCCUCGUAGUCCAUGCCGUAAACGAUGUGUGUUAGACGUUGGAAAUUUAUUCUCAGUGUCGCAGCGAAAGCGAUAAACACACCGCCUGGGGAGUACGACCGCAAGGUUAAAACUCAAAUGAAUUGACGGGGACCCGCACAAGUAGUGGAGCAUGUGGUUUAAUUCGAAGAUACGCGCAGAACCUUACCAACACUUGACAUGUUCGUCGCGACUUUAAGAGAUUAAAGUUUUCGGUUCGGCCGGACGAAACACAGGUGCUGCAUGGCUGUCGUCAGCUCGUGUCGUGAGAUGUUGGGUUAAGUCCCGCAACGAGCGCAACCCUCACUUUUAGUUG
rnacentral:rRNA from 1 species